rnacentral:rRNA from 1 species
CGCUCAAAGGUUCCCUCAGAAUGGUUGGAAAUCAUUCAUAGAGUGUAAAGGCAUAAGGGAGCUUGACUGCGAGACCUACAAGUCGAGCAGGGUCGAAAGACGGACUUAGUGAUCCGGUGGUUCCGCAUGGAAGGGCCAUCGCUCAACGGAUAAAAGCUACCCCGGGGAUAACAGGCUUAUCUCCCCCAAGAGUUCACAUCGACGGGGAGGUUUGGCACCUCGAUGUCGGCUCAUCGCAUCCUGGGGCUGUAGUCGGUCCCAAGGGUUGGGCUGUUCGCCCAUUAAAGCGGUACGCGAGCUGGGUUCAGAACGUCGUGAGACAGUUCGGUCCCUAUCCGUCGUGGGCGUAGGAAAUUUGAGAGGAGCUGUCCUUAGUACGAGAGGACCGGGAUGGACAUACCUCUGGUGUACCAGUUGUCGUGCCAACGGCAUAGCUGGGUAGCUAUGUGUGGACGGGAUAAGUGCUGAAAGCAUCUAAGCAUGAAGCCCCCCUCAAGAUGAGAUUUCCCAACUUCGGUUAUAAGAUCCCUCAAAGAUGAUGAGGUUAAUAGGUUCGAGGUGGAAGCAUGGUGACAUGUGGAGCUGACGAAUACUAAUCGAUCGAAGACUUAAUCAA